rnacentral:rRNA from 1 species
AUUGAACGCUGGCGGCAGGCUUAACACAUGCAAGUCGAGCGGGGGAAGGUAGCUUGCUACCGGACCUAGCGGCGGACGGGUGAGUAAUGCUUAGGAAUCUGCCUAUUAGUGGGUGACAACAUCUCGAAAGGGAUGCUAAUACCGCAUACGUCCUACGAGAGAAAGCAGGGGAUCUUCGGACCUUGCGCUAAUAGAUGAGCCUAAGUCGGAUUAGCUAGUUGGUGGGGUAAAGGCCUACCAAGGCGACGAUCUGUAGCGGGUCUGAGAGGAUGAUCCGCCACACUGGGACUGAGACACGGCCCAGACUCCUACGGGAGGCAGCAGUGGGGAAUAUUGGACAAUGGGGGGAACCCUGAUCCAGCCACGCCGCGUGUGUGAAGAAGGCCUUAUGGUUGUAAAGCACUUUAAGCGAGGAGGAGGCUACUUUAGUUAAUACCUAGAGAUAGUGGACGUUACUCGCAGAAUAAGCACCGGCUAACUCUGUGCCAGCCGCCGCGGUAA